UUUUGUGUUCUUUUCCAGCUAUCCAAAGGUAUUGUUGUUGUUGUUAAGUCCAGUUGUUCCCUAAGAACCUGAAAAGUGACAUAUUACCUACUGUUUCAGUUUCUUCUCUGUUGUGGUGAUAAAAUACCAUGACUCAUACAAAAGGGAGGAUGAAUUUACUCUGUUCACAGUUCCAGAAAGUCACAGCGUACGAGCUUCAGAGAACUGAUCACUUUCCAUCUGCUGACUGGAGGAGAGAACUGUGGAUUAAUGAAUUUAUGUUGUUUCUCAGUCCCUCUCUACUUAGACAAUUCAGGGUCCUAGUCAGGGAAUUGUACUACUCAGAGUGCCAGGUAAUGCAAUCAAGAUAAUUAAUUUCUCCCACACAUUUUCAGAGCCCUUCUGCUGGAUGAAUCUAAGUGCGCCAAGUUGACAACUAAAAUGAAUCACCACAUCUACUUUUAAUAUUUAGAUGCAACUACUUUGUUCAUUUGGUGGGAGAAUGUGUCUUUUAAGAGUUUCACUAGAUUGUAUAUUUAAACAUUUGUUCUGUUUUCUCUCUAACAUAGACUCCAGUUACACAUGUGACGUUUUCUUUUACUAUUGUAAUUAACACUUUUCUUAAAUCUGUUAUUUCAGUGUACACGUGUCCUUUAUUAAUCUCCUCACUGUUUAUUUCUAUUUCACCACAGUGUUUAUGCCCUCUCAAGCAUCUACUUCCUUCCCCAAUUUUAAGGCUUUUAUUUUCCUACGCUCUUGUUAACUCAUGCUGGUUUAUACUUUAUCACUGUCUACUCAUCUCUUCACUGAAUUCUCAAUCUUCUGUUUUGUGACCUUCAUUCAUAGAGGCUACUGCUCCAUUAACUUAAAAUAGUUAUGGCAAGUACUUGCUUAAAACAUAAUUGGUUCCAUGGUAACAUUUCGGGUUCCGGGCAAGUUAUUCUGUUGAUAAGUUCUAUUUCUCACUCAUUCGUUUAUUCUUAAGGCUUCUUUAUAUUGUACUAAUGUGAAUCUCUUUCUAUUUUCUCAUUACAAAAACUGAGUGCUUGUGGAAUAGAUAGAAUGGAUUUCCUAUAAGUAUACAGUGCUGGCAACCCAGACCUUUCCUUAGGCUUAGCUACCACAGCUAGAUACUGCUUUAUGUAAAUAAGAGUUUCUAUAGAAUCUGUUUCAUAAAUCCUUCUCCUUUCUUCCUAAGUUAAUUGUUCUCUUGAGUAAUGGGUGAAGGGUGGUGGCUUUUGCCUUCAACCUGCUUACUCUUGUUUCUGCAUUUCCUCUUUAGAUAUACCCUUUGACCUAGGGGUGUAACACCCCCACCCUUUUUCGGAGUAUAUUUUGGCUCUGCUACCAUCACAAUCUCACUCUCUAUUAUUCUCUCUCAUUUCCAUGAGACAUUUGUAGGGAAUUUACUAUUUGUGGCAGCCAUUCAAAAUUUGAUAGUCUUUAGAGUUGAUAAAAAUGGACACUUUUAUUUGGUUUUUAAUUUUGCUUGUUUCCUUUCAAAGAAGAACCCAAAAGUAAGGAAGGAGACUCCUAAACACACAGGGUAUAUUCAUUAUGUGAACUCUAGAGUGGCACUGACCAGCAAUUUAUAAUAAAGUGGCUCAAUUCUUAUAUACUAAAUAUAGAUUCACUGGGUGUGGCUAACAUUUGGUCUCAUUUGUUUUUCACGUUCUGCUUCCCAUCCUUCAUACCGUGAUGUCAUAUGCAAUGAACUUCAUUACUGUACUUUUUGAUUCCUUCAAGCACAAUAUGUAGCAUGGUUAGGCACAUGUCCCAGCCAGCACCAAUUGGAACUCCUUGGGGAUAAUUAUAUAGAAAAACAAGACUGGUGCCUGCCACUGCUGGUAAACUCUGAGAAGUUAAGCUCUUCCAGGGUCUCAUCAAAGUAGAAUGUUCUCCUGAGCUGUCCUUCUAAUGAAUUUGAGAUGCAAGGCUGAGCUUUCUGUCUGGAUUUAUGCUCUGCUCUGCUUUUGCUCAUGUGUACCCAAAGAGUCAGAAGAUAAGCACCGGCUUGUGACAGCACCCCAGGAACUCAAUGACCACGUGAAUGCCUGGGGAUUCCUCCACCCUGUGAAAUUUACAGGUUCAACCCCCUCAUCAAACGCUCCCAGAUUUGCCUUUAUAGUCAUUGAGCCCGCCCUCCUACUGUCCCUACAAAUAAAUUCAAUCCACGAGAAAA